ACUUCCUCAGACACGGAAUCAGGCAGAGGGCGCGCCUGGUUGCCUGGAAGGACUGCAGGUCGCUGCCCAAGCCCAGUGGCAGCCUCGCUGACCACGAGCGCGGGGACGCUGGCCUCCCGGUCCCCCCAGAGAGGAAACUGGAUACCCGAGGAGGACAGAGAGAUCCUGCUGGCUUUCAAAACUGAACUGAGGUCCCACCUUCUCACAAAGUCUCUCUAGCCUACUCCGGCUCUUCGGCAUCUCUUCCACCUCUGAAUCCCACAUCACUUCGAGUCCUUCAAGUCCUGCCCAAGAGAAGCAUGUGGAAACUGAACACAAGGAGGGGCUCGAACAUCCUUGCUGAUGGGUUGACUUGAUCUUUCCACCAAUGGGCUUCCUCGGUGACUCAGAUGGUAAGGAGCCC